CUCCUCAUCAACUCAGCAGUAUAUAUAACCCCGGCUCUCCAUCCACUCAUUGCCAGAUCGUUGUGUCAACUACUGCGGAUCACCAUUCACCCACCUGCCUUCCUGCUCAGCCAUCUGCCUCAAACUGCUCUCUGGACUCAGGACCACUCAGCCACGCUCACACCCCUACUCUGGUCUGGUCAGCCUUCAUCCCCUUCACUCUGCUAACCUCCAGAAUCUUUAACCCAUCUUCAUCUCCAUUUGCCACAAUAAACCUCAUUACCAAUCGA